AAACACCAAAGAUUUGCUUAGUAGAUCCCGAGCGAUACGAGAAACUCCUACGAAACCUAGAGAGAGAGAGUCGAUGCAUUCGUUCGGUUACAGGGCGAACGCGGUGGUGACGUUCGCCAUCAUCAUCCUCGGGAUGAUGUGCGCCAUGACCUCCCUCUCCGACAAUUUCAACUCUUCCUCGCCGACUGCCGACGUCAAGAUUUCUUGAAGAUGAACGGAUUAUGUUGCAGACGUUAGAUGUUCUUUAUUUCAUAAAAAAACUGAUUCAUGUUGGAAAUAAUUGGCGUCCAUGUUGUUUCCAGAGCUGUACAGGCAUACGAGGUUCUUAAUAUAAAUUGGUUCCAAAAGCAACCAAAUGGGAAUGAUGAGGUGUUUGUUUUUGUAGCAGCUGAGUAUGAGACACCUCAGAAUGCCUUGAAUCAGGUUUCACUUUGGGAUGGAAUCAUACAAUCUAAAGAGCAUGCUAAAUUUUGGAUUCAUACCACAAAUAAGUAUCAUUUUACUGACCAGGGAAACAACCUUAGAGGAAAGGAUUACAACUUAACGCUUCAUUGGCAUAUUAUGCCCAAGACUGGCAAGAUGUUUGCUGACAAAAUAGUCAUGACUGGAUAUAGCCUUUCUGAGAAUUACAAAUAGGUAUCUCUCUCAUAUGUUUGAGAAAUAGAUGCCAUGUUGUACGAUGCUAGCAGCAUGUUUUUGCAAAUGAAUAGGAAUUUACGGGUUCUCUCUCCUUAUCAUCUUAUGGUGGCUUUUGCAUGAAGAGCAACAAUAGAUUUUAGUUUUAAGCUAUUUCCUUCUUAGUUCACUCUUGAAAGAAUCCUUAACAAUCGUCAUCUAUGUUGCUUCCUGCUUUAUAAUAUAUAUUCUUUGCAUUAAUUGUAGAGUGAAGGUAGAGGCACUGGAUGGCAGGGCUGUAUCUAAGUCCAAUUGAGGUUGAUUAUGAUUAAUUUUGUUUGUUUAUUUUAUCAAUCUCAAAAUAAAAAUAUAUUUAAUUUUUUUUUGUUUUAAAAAGGAUUAUUGAGCCCGAGCUUGAUAAAUCUUUUAAAAAUAUAUCUGUCCUUUCUAUCAAUGUAUAUAUUCAUUCAAAAUCAAGAUCAAUAGAAAGCUCCAAAGGCAGAGUAGCAGUGCCCAUUCCUCUGACACGGCCAAAAGCCCCCCUUAAUUUCAAUGAAGUGGAACGUGAACCCAACACAAGUAGUAAAGAGUGUAUGGUGGUCGCUGCUAUGCUACCCAUUUACAGCAGCAGACAUACACGCAUUUGGAGACCCUCCCUCCAGGCUCACAAUUUCAUGGGCACUUCUGCACCUCCAUUAAUCAAUUCCCUUUUCAUAUAAUAUCAACAGGAAUUAUGAGAGGCUCGACGUAACUCACCAUUUCAUGAUCACACUGCUCCGAGUCUCUUUGAAGGCGUAGGAUACUUACUACACAGACAUGGAGAGUACAAGAGAAAGCAAGAGCAAGGGUAAGGAUGCAUGGGUGAUGAUGAGCAGAGGGUUGUUCCUUAGUGAAGGCUUCAUGUCAUGGCCCCCCAAGAGGUCAUACUCUUGUUGCUUCUGCAAGAGAGUUUUCAUGUCAGCGCAGGCUCUUGGGGGCCAUAUGAACGUCCACAGAAGGGACAAAGCUAGGCUGAGGGAGGAAUCCCCAAAUUAUUAUUUGUGCCUCAACCCUAACCCUGAUCUUGGCUGCUCCCCUGUUCCCAACCUCAACAUGCCACCACCACCUAGCAUGGCAGGAUACUGUGAAAAUUUGAAGAGUGCUGUGGAAAUAGUAGGGUUCAUUGAUGUUGAUGGGGAGGCAGGCACAAAACUACUUAACUUGGACUUGGAGAUCGGACCCUUUGGUGGUCAUGGAGAUCAUGAACUCGAUUUAGAACUUCGACUUGGGUAAUUUUGAUUGAUUUUGUGAUAUUUUAUUGUGUGUCGGACAUAAGCUAUUCUAUUAUGCAUAAUUUAGAACUACUUCCCAUUAA